rnacentral:rRNA from 1 species
UACGUAGGGUGCGAGCGUUGUCCGGAAUUAUUGGGCGUAAAGGGCUCGUAGGCGGUUUGUCGCGUCGGGAGUGAAAACCCAGGGCUUAACCCUGGGCUGGCUUCCGAUACGGGCAGACUAGAGGUAUGCAGGGGAGAACGGAAUUCCUGGUGUAGCGGUGAAAUGCGUAGAUAUCGAGAGGAACACCUGCGGCGAAGGCGGGUUGCUGGGCUGAUACUGACGCUGAGGCGCGAAAGCCAGGGGAGCGAACGGG